rnacentral:misc_RNA from 1 species
GGAAGGAUCAUUAGCGCUUGGCAUCCACUCGCGGCCGCCACCCCUAGGGAGGCGGCCGCGCAGGCAACUUUCGGGGAGCGUUCAAGUCUGCCGGUGGUCUACGGCAGCAUUGGCAACGUUUGUGGGGACUUGGCACUGAACCGUUUGUGGGACUUGGUCGAUUCUGCGGGUUUCGCCCCAGAGUUGGACUCCAAAUAGGCAUUGAUACGUAUGGCACAACUUUUAACAACGGAUAUCUUGGUUCUCGCAACGAUGAAGAGCGUGGCAAACUGCGAUAAGUAAUGUGAAUUGCAGGAUUCUGUGAAUCAUCAAACUCUUGAACGCACAUUGCGCCCGUGCUUGCACGGGCACGUCUGUCUGAGCGUCGGCUCAUAAUCUCUCUUGCGGGGAGGACUUGAGAGUUAGGGGUGCUCCCUGUCUUUCGAAGCGGUGAACGUUUGGGUUGGCGGUUGCGUCUUGCAUCCAAGCCUUGCAGCUUUUCAGUCUGGGCAGCGAGCCUGCACUCUCUGGGAACUGCGAGGCCUGUUGGCUGUUUCGCGUGGGGGAUGUCCAAGCGCGCCGCACUUGUGGGUCUUUAGAAGGGGCGAGCCUUGGGGACUGGUCGGUCUUCAAAAUUCGACCUCAGAUCAGACGGGGCUACCCGCUGAAUUUAAGCAUAUCAAUAAGCGGAGGAGGAGAAACUAACUAGGAUUCCCCCAGUAACGGCGAGUGAACAGGGAAGAGCUCAGGCUUGAAAUCCCCCGGCUGUGCCGGGUGAAUUGUAGUAUUGCGAGCGACUUACGUGGGAGCAGCUUCGACCAAAGUCCCCUGGAAAGGGGCGCCCUAGAAGGUGAGAGCCCUGUGCGGUUGAAGUCGGCAUGCUCCCCGGUCCGGUCGAUUCGUAGAGUCGGGUUGCUUGGGAGUGCAGCCCAAAGUGGGUGGUAAAUUUCAUCUAAGGCUAAAUACUGGCGAGAGACCGAUAGCGAACAAGUACCGUGAGGGAAAGGUGCAAAGAACUCCGAAAGGAGAGUCAAAAGUACUUGAAAUUGUUGGAAGGGAAGCGAUUGGAACCAGUGGCUGCCCCGCGUCUAAUCAGCUAGGUGGCGCCGGUCGACGCGCGGUCGGGUGAGGAAUCCUUGGCGGUUUCCACCCGGUCGACGUCGGUCGGUGCUGACUGGUGCACUUGGGCGCGGUGCGUGUCAACAUCAGUUGGUGGCGGAGUAAAAUGGUUGACGUUAGGUGGCUGAAUGCCUCUCAGAGAGCAUUUUGUGUUAUAAGUGUCUUCGGAUGCUCCGCUUCACUGACUGAGGAUCAGAGCGGAGCCUUUUUGGCGGGGUACCCAGUCUUCUGGCUGGUGUCAACCUUGGGCGCAGCGUGCUGUUCCCAGGGGUGGCGCCGGUCACUGGGAUUGGGCCACUUUCGGCUCGGGGAUGUUGGCGAAAUGGUCUCAAACGACCCGUCUUGAAACACGGACCAAGGAGUCUAACAUGCGUGCGAGCACCUGGGCGGUAAACCCGGUUGCAAAAUGAAAGUGAAUAGGUGGGAGCAGCGAUGUGCACCAUCAACCGGUCUUGAUAUUUUUGGAUGGAUCCGAGUCGUAGCGCGCCUGUCGGGACCCGAAAGAUAGCGAACUAUGCGCGCAUAGGGUGAAGCCAGGCGAAAGCCUGGUGGAGGCUCGUAGCGGUACUGACGUGCAAAUCGUUCGUCAAAUGUGCGUAUAGCGGCGAAAGACUAAUCGAGCUGUCUAGUAGCUGGUUCCCUC